CCCUUAGAUGUUCUGGGCUGCACGCGCGCUACACUGAUGCACUCAACGAGUUUUCGACCUUGCCCGAUAGGGCUGGGUAAUCUUUUUAAAAUGCAUCGUGAUGGGGAUAGAUUAUUGCAAUUAUUAAUCUUCAACGAGGAAUUCCUAGUAAGCGCGAGUCAUCAGCUCGUGCUGAUUACGUCCCUGCCCUUUGUACACACCGCCCGUCGCUACUACCGAUUGAAUGGUUUAGUGAGAAUUUUGGACUGGAACUCCCUUGCUCAGCAAUGGGCGAGGGGGAGUCCGGGAAGCUAUUCUAACUGUAUCAUUUAGAGGAAGUAAAAGUCGUAACA
rnacentral:rRNA from 1 species